rnacentral:lncRNA from 1 species
GGGGCUAUGGUACGUACAGGUGGGAUAAAACAAGAAAAAGGGGAUCAAAGAGGCUCAAUAUAUGAUUGAAAACAUGCAACACACCAGACCUUCCAUCAAUAAAACUCUAGAGUAACUCCUCAACAUAUCCACAAUCCUCUAAACGUAUGCAUUUUAUUAUAGAACUCUAUUUUUCUUUUCUUUUUUUUUUUUUUUAUUUUUUUAUUUUUUUGUUUUCUAAUUUUUUUUUUUUUUAACAGCAUAUAUAUCCCAUAGAAUCAAUGAACUAUCUCUCAACACACUAAAAUUAUAGGAGUACUCAUCUUCUCAUCUCG